rnacentral:rRNA from 1 species
UACGUAGGGUGCAAGCGUUGUCCGGAAUUAUUGGGCGUAAAGAGCUCGUAGGCGGUCUGUCGCGUCGGCUGUGAAAUCCCGAGGCUCAACCUCGGGUCUGCAGUGGGUACGGGCAGACUGGAGUGCGGUAGGGGAGAAUGGAAUUCCUGGUGUAGCGGUGGAAUGCGCAGAUAUCAGGAGGAACACCGGUGGCGAAGGCGACACGCUGGGCCGUACCUGACGCUAAAGCGCGACAGCAUGGGAGCAAACGGG